rnacentral:rRNA from 1 species
CCCUUAGAUGUCCUGGGCCGCACGCGCGCUACACUGACGGAGCCAGCGAGCUUACCCCUUUGCCGAAAGGCAUGGGAAAUCUUUUGAAUCUCCGUCGUGCUGGGGAUAGAUCAUUGCAAUUAUUGAUCUUGAACGAGGAAUUCCUAGUAAGCGCAAGUCAUCAACUUGCGUUGAUUACGUCCCUGCCCUUUGUACACACCGCCCGUCGCUCCUACCGAUGGGUGAUCCGGUGAAUGAUUCGGACUUCAGCGGCUCCCCUGGGGUGCGCCGGAGAAAGUUUUGUGAACCUUAUCACUUGGAGGAAGGAGAAGUCGUAACA